UGGGGAAUAUUGCGCAAUGGACGAAAGUCUGACGCAGCCACGCCGCGUGAGUGAGGAAGGCCUUCGGGUUGUAAAGCUCUGUCGCCUGGGAAAAACGGCUAUCCGGGGAAAGUUCGGGUAGCGUGAUGGUACCAGGAAAGGAAGCACCGGCAAACUCCGUGCCAGCAGCCGCGGUAAUACAGAGGGUGCAAGCGUUGUUCGGAAUUACUGGGCGUAAAGCGUGCGUAGUCGGUAUUGAGAGUCGCGGGUGAAAUCCCAGGGCUUAACCCUGGAACUGCCUGCGAGACCUCAGUACUAGAGUGUGAGAGGGGAUAGUGGAAUACCCAGUGUAGCGGUGAAAUGCGUAGAGAUUGGGUGGAACACCGGUGGCGAAGGCGGCUAUCUGGCUCACAACUGACGAUCAGGCACGAAAGCGUGGGGAGCAAACAGGAUUAGAUACCCUCGUAGUCCCUGAGCGGGCUGGCAAGGCGCAU
rnacentral:rRNA from 1 species